rnacentral:rRNA from 1 species
UACGGAGGGUGCAAGCGUUAAUCGGAAUUACUGGGCGUAAAGGGUGCGUAGGCGGUUGUUUAAGUCUGUUGUGAAAUCCCCGGGCUCAACCUGGGAAUGGCAAUGGAUACUGGGCAGCUAGAGUGUGUCAGAGGAUGGUGGAAUUCCCGGUGUAGCGGUGAAAUGCGUAGAGAUCGGGAGGAACACCGAUGGCGAAGGCAGGUCUCUGGGCUGACACUGACGCUCAUGCACGAAAGCGUGGGGAGCAAACAGG